UACGUAGGUCCCGAGCGUUGUCCGGAUUUAUUGGGCGUAAAGCGAGCGCAGGUGGUUUAUUAAGUCUGGUGUAAGGCAGUGGCUCAACCAUUGUAUGCAUUGGAAACUGGUAGACUUGAGUGCAGGAGAGGAGAGUGGAAUUCCAUGUGUAGCGGUGAAAUGCGUAGAUAUAUGGAGGAACACCGGUGGCGAAAGCGGCUCUCUGGCCUGUAACUGACACUGAGGCUCGAAAGCGUGGGGAGCAAACAGG
rnacentral:rRNA from 1 species